UUGAACAUGGAAGAUUUGAAUAAUUGCAAGGCACUAGUGACUUAGAAAAACUGUCAUUUUAUACUCACCUGAACCAGCUUCACUCGAUUUGGACGCCAUUCUCCCUCCGUUUGUAUCUUUCGCUUCUUCUCUUAUGUGUCCUUGUUGUUUCCUACACUCCGAACAAUCACCUUGAAUGUUUAGCCGGACAACAGGAAAAUGAAAGUAUUCCUGAACAGUAACAAUCAUCCGUUGGACCACACCUUUACAGAUAACAUCAGGUCAAGAAUGCAGGAAGACAGAAGAAUAUAUACUGAGAAACACCACACUUCCCUCGGCAAAGUUCCCUUGUAAACAGGGAGAGUCCACACACUGGUAAUGCUUGUGCCAUUCAUUACCACACCACCAUGGUUGGGCAGUUUGGUGCAUGUAUUGGUGAGUCAAUUAUUGCUCAUUUAAUGUCAGAUAGUGUAGAAAAUAUGAGUGAUAGCCAGAAUACAACAAACAGCGAAAAUGUACCCUUUGACACUACCAGACACUUUACAUGUGACACUUGUGUACAGAGUCUUGGGAGACCAGAUCACUAAGAAGAAAUGCUCUUCCUAACUCUUCGAGAACUGAUCGUCUCGUAAAGUGUCCAUGAUUAGGCUGAUCACCAGAAGCAGUUCAGCACCCUCAAUUUGAUCAAGCAUUUUUAUUCAGUUUUUAUGGGGAUGUUAGAGAGUGUGUUUUCUACCGUCAGCUUUGUGCCAUCUUUAAGCCAGCGCUUUAAGCCAGCGUGGUGCCACCUUAAGCCAGUCCCUCGGAGGAUAUUUCAUCCACCAAGCCGAUGGACUUGCAUUGCACUGAGUUUUGGUCUGCAGAGGAUUCAGUAAAUAAGUCAGUUGAUGUACAAGUGGUAACAGACCACUUCACAGGGAUGGCUCAAGUGAUCCGAUUUAGAGACAACUUGGGUCAAGUGGAAAGGGUUUUGAGGGACAAGUAUUUCUGGGUGUUUGGCUUUCCUGAGUGGAUUUAUACUGACUUGGGAGCAGGCUUUGAUUGUCACUUAAUCAGUGAGCUGCUCAGUAUUUCCAGAGUGAAAAGUGACACAUGACCACCCCCCAUGCCAUCCUAUGAGAAGUGGUAGUGCAGAACGUUUCAGUAGGACCUUAGACAACAUGGUCCAUGUCCUGGUCCCUUAAGAGAAAAGUUGACUGACUCUGACACUUACAGAUAAUAACAUUUGUGUAAAACUGUGUAACCCGAGUACCUUGUCUCUUUAUGGACAUGCUGUUCCGUUCUGUUCUCAGUGAUCAAGUUGUGACCAGCUAUGAUAAGUAUUUGGGUCUCUCAUUGAAAAAAGUUCAUCUUGAGUUGCAUCCUUAAGUGCAGUUUAUUCGGCAGUAAUUUUAUCCUGUAAUAAGAGGAUGCUUUUGAUGGAUGUAAAUAUUUUCUUUCUUUCUUUCUUUCUUUCUUUUUUGUUGACACGUUAUGCAAUGUAGCCUGAAAAAUUUGUUGCAUUCAUUAUGUGAACAUUCAAAUAUUCAGUGUUCUCAAGUCAUGUCAUGUGAUGACAGUUAUUUCUCAUUCUUUCUUGCCCAUAGCUCUGAACUUUCUAUGUUUCCUGUCCUUUGCAGAUCUUGACAAAAGAAUCAAUUGAGUUUAAUAAAUUAGUUAAUCCCGAUGAUUUCAGCCCAACCAGACAGUUCUGUUGGAUAUAUCUGGCUUUAUCUUAAUGCGUGACUGAUUUAAAACUGCAAAUUUUAUAUUUCACAGAAUGUUCAAAUCAAGCAUUACUCUAAGCUCUACCAUCAUUUAUAAACCCUACGCAAUGUAGUUAUUCAUUAAAUCAUGUAUGGAGUUUAGCUUUCAUUAGCAUUUAACUGUCUGAAAUUCCGAAAGUUACCGUCAGUACAAGUCUAAUGUCAAAUGAAGGAACCUCAUUAUGCUUAAUAACUGUAUUUCAUUUUAUUUUUGACACAUCACCCACACAUCAAUGGAUUGUUCAAUAGAUUUUUGGUUAAAUAACAAUAAUAACAAAAAACCCGCACUACAACCUCUAGUUUAAUUCAGUCGAAAAGGCAGAACUAGCAGACAUGCUUACCAUAAAACAAUGCAAUUUCCUUGAACAUUAUUUUCAAACCCUAGCAUGAAUGUGCGACUCUGCAGCUGCCCUACGCGUGAACUGCCUAAUUUAAAUACCAACGCCUAAUUUAAAACCAAU